ensembl:lncRNA
GCUGGCCCACUGGCUGGAGAGCAGCUGCAGCUGGUAGCUGGUGUGCGGGGUACUGCGCUGUUGCAGUCUGGGGUUGAUAUGUAGGCUGUGCAGGCGUAGCUGGAGCAUAUUGAUACGCUGUCUGGGGUUGAUAUGUAGGCUGUGCAGGCGUAGCUGGAGCAUAUUGAUACGCAGUCUGGGGUUGAUAUGUAGGCUGUGCAGGCGUAGAUGGAGCAUAUUGAUAUGCUGUCUGGGCAAGUGUCAUUGGCGUAGGCUGAUAUAGGGCCUGUACGGCCGUUGGCAUAUUGGCGCACAUGAUCUGCACAGGCGAUGACACAGGCUGGUUUGGAUGGAAGGCAGGCUGGUACCCCGCUGCUGUUGACAGUUGUUGGCCCACUGCUUGCAUCGCCUGGGAGUUAGACUGUGUCAUGACCAUACUCGUCGCAGUGGGAACUGGCGGCCUAGGAACUGCUCCGAAUAGCGGUGCAGAAGUUAUUGUUGAUGGCAGGGACGGAGUCAACGUUUAGCUCUGCUGCCUUUGGCCUAGUGUACAACCUGUUUGAGACCGCAAUACUGCGGUUGUUGUGCACAGCGACGAUGUUAGCGACAGCUUAUCUUGAGGCUGGGUAGUUGGUCCCGGCUGGGGGGAUAACGACUGCUGCUGAAUAACACGGCUGUCUGGUUGGGGGUCCAACCAAGGUGAUUGGUUCGACGGGACACCUAGACCAGUAUAUGGCGUGUGCUGUUGCGUAGGAGGACCUGGUCCGCUUGCAUCGAAGCUGUAUUCUGUUAAGUGCCGACUGUAGCAGCUCUGUUCGGAGGUGGGUGGCGAUUGGAGCCCCACAGACACGUGCUGGUGGCUGGGCAGACUGCUAGCAUCCGAUGCUAAGUCCCAUUGACUCGCCUUAUCGUCGACUGCUCCUGGCGAAAAGGGACAGGAAGGGGGCCCGAGCGCAGUGUAUAGCUGGUCACCUGUAGCGGCGGACUCGGUCUGCAGGCUGAGUGACCGCAGCUGCUGUGCGCUGGCGCUCUCGAUGUCUUCUUUGAAGGAGGCAGUAUAAGGCAUGAGGGACUGUGGUAAGCUGACCUGAUAGCCCUGCAUGUGUGCUGGAAGUUGUCGCGGCCUUCCUCGUCCUUGUGUUCCGCUUUCGGCUGCUGCUGUUCUCUGUGCGUCCAUGGCUCCGUCGUGGGUGAAGUGUUCCGGUUCGAAGGACCAAUAUUGUAGAAUGUAUGUGUGCGUUUGCUGGGAUCACUUUAUCCAGGACGGUAACUCCGAUCAGAGAGUAGACGCAUACACAGGGAACAGUUCAGGAUGUUUAUAUCUCUUGCAGUCGAAUGACAUCAAUGAUGGCUUCAAUAAGUAACCAAAUAAAUGACGGAAUGGAUGAACAGAUCUAUGAAUGAUGUAGGAAUGGUUUUUCUGUAAGACAGAAUAAGAAAUAGACAAAUAGUUAUUACUAGAUUUACCUACUAAAACACCGGGCUCUAGUACUAACAACGUCUCAUAAAUGCUAUAUAAACAUAACUGGCAUAAAUAGCUGCCACAUGCACACGUUAACACAAUAAUGCAAUAGUGCAAUAUAACGGCCGACAUGGUGCGGCAGCCUGACGCACACGUGCUACACGAGGUGCAGGCUAAUACACUAGCUACCCAAUUCGUGAGUAAAUCAAUUAACACAGUAACAGAACCACACAAAAUCACGGCUACUAUAAGGAACCGAGUUACGGAAUGUAUAUAACAUUUAUAUUACGUAGAUACACGUGGUUCAAUACUACUCACUCUUCAAGAACGCAUUCUCUGUCAUGACGUAUUAAACAGUCGCGCGCAACGAGCCCUGGCGCAGCC